CUUCCCAACACUGGUAGUUAUGAAUGCGGGACUGGGGUAGAAUGUGUCAAGAGGUGACAUGAUGGUAGGUCUUGUGUUCACCAAGUAUCUGCUUGUGACGGACUGAUCCUGUCACUAUGUUAACUGAUGCGGGACUCCAGGCCAAGUCCUCUCCAAAAUAGUAAAUUACUUUGCUUACCCUCCCCUCCUGGACCAUCAACUUGCAGGAUAUCUAGAAUGCAUAGUUACUCUGCCCAACUAGCUUCAAGGACUCUGGGAAGCUGCCCAGGCCCGUCCUCAAGCAGAGAGCACUUGACCAGAAGAUACCCUUAUUUUAC